UGGUUCUGGCAUCGAUGAAGAACGCAGCGAAAUGCGAUAAGUAAUGUGAAUUGCAGAAUUCAGUGAAUCAUCGAAUCUUUGAACGCACAUUGCGCCUAAUAGUAUUCUGUUAGGCAUGCCUGUUCGAGCGUCAUUUCAACCUUCAAGCCCUAUUUGCUUGACGUUGGGAGUUUACAGCUGCUGUAAUUCCUUAAAUUUAGUGGCGGAGCUAGGUCAUGCUCUGAGCGUAGUAAUUCUUUUUUCUCGCUCUUGAUGCUGCCCUGUAUCUUGCCGUAAAACCCCCUAAAUUUUAUUCUGGUUGACCUCGGAUCAGGUAGGAAUACCCGCUGA
rnacentral:misc_RNA from 1 species